rnacentral:rRNA from 1 species
GAUGAACGCUGGCGGCGUGCCUAAUACAUGCAAGUCGAGCGAACAGACGAGGAGCUUGCUCCUCUGACGUUAGCGGCGGACGGGUGAGUAACACGUGGAUAACCUACCUAUAAGACUGGGAUAACUUCGGGAAACCGGAGCUAAUACCGGAUAAUAUAUUGAACCGCAUGGUUCAAUAGUGAAAGACGGUUUUGCUGUCACUUAUAGAUGGAUCCGCGCCGCAUUAGCUAGUUGGUAAGGUAACGGCUUACCAAGGCAACGAUGCGUAGCCGACCUGAGAGGGUGAUCGGCCACACUGGAACUGAGACACGGUCCAGACUCCUACGGGAGGCAGCAGUAGGGAAUCUUCCGCAAUGGGCGAAAGCCUGACGGAGCAACGCCGCGUGAGUGAUGAAGGCCUUCGGAUCGUAAAACUCUGUUAUUAGGGAAGAACAAAUGUGUAAGUAACUAUGCACGUCUUGACGGUACCUAAUCAGAAAGUCACGGCUAACUACGUG